GGCCCGGGGCUGCGAGCUCAGAGACUCCGACUCCUGAGGGCACCUGCUCCCGCCCGUUCCCAGCGCUGCAGGGUGAGCAGCCCUGCUGAUGAGCUCGGAUUUCGCGCUGCAAACCCCGCACAAGGGCGCCGUCCUCGAGGACUUGCUCCGGCUGCUCAGUUGCAGAGCAGCAAAGCCAAAGGCGCGAGCGGAGCCUCCUUGGCGCAGUUCGGUCCUAAACUGCUGCGGGCCCAUCACCGGACGGACGGAGGCGCCCCGGCGGCCCGGGAUGCGGGAGGAGGGAAGGCCUUGUUGCCGGCAAAAAAAAAAAAAAAAAAAAAAAAAAAAAAAACCACGGCAUUCAGAGGUUCCCAAGUUAGGGGUCAAAUUGGAGCUGCAGCUGCCCGCCUACACUACAGCCACAGCAACACCAGAUCCGAGCCUCGUCUGUGACCCACACCACAGCUCACGGCAGCGCCGGAUCCUUAACCCGCUGAGCCUGAGCGAGGCCAGGGAUCAAAGCCAGGUCCUCAUGCUUCCUGGUCGGAUUCGUUCCCACUGCGCCACGACGGGAACUCCUGCCGUAGUGUUGAAGGAGGUGGGCCCGCAGACGCUGGGGCUGUGAUGGGCCCGCGUGGUCCCAGGGGAACGCAGACCCCUCAGCAGCACUGCGCUGUUUUCUUGGGUUUCAUGUCCUCCCGACUGAUUAGAAUUCCACAGGGCUAAGAAGGGGGUCACGUGACCAGAUGAAGCUGCAAAGUGACUGAGUAAAAUUCUCUGAUGGGGACGUUCCAUGCCGUGCCUGUUUCCUCCCCUUUCAAAGAAAAUCUCCAUUUUCCUUCCUCCAAGCUCGUUGCAUUUGCAAUUUUAAGUGCUACUCCUUAUGAGUCUAACAUUCAAGAUGAAUGUUUUCCAUAGUGUGUGAUUAACUCGCCAUAUGCAUUACUGACAUAACCCGAUGAUGUUUCUCAACCAUUUUCCUGUGGACAUGGAAACCCCUGACUCCCCACACAGGUAAAUCCACACAGCCAUCUGCAUGGCAUCAGGUGCCCUUAUGUGGGGGUAAGCCAGUCUGGAGGGGCUUGCUGGCCAGUGCUGGACACAAACUAUUGCCCACACACAAUGCCACCUGGCCACCUGCACAAUGGCCAGCCAGCAGGCUGAGCCUCCCCCGCCCACACGCAGGGUGGCAAAGCCAGGCGGUCUUGGCACAGCCUUACUGCCUCUGGGGGGCUUGCUGACCGUCUCCUGGGCUCAGCUGUGGGAUCAGGAGCUUUUAAAACAUCGGAAGCUUCAGCUGACAACGGGCGUUGUGACUCGGCGGGUAGCAUUGAAGACCCCUCCUCAAGUCUGUUCCUGUGAAGCCAGGGUGGAGAUCUGCCCUCAGGACCUUUGGGUCAGCAGCCUGCUUCGUCACUUCCCAGCUUUGUGACCCGGGACGAUUCACCAGACUGCCCUGAACCUUCCUCUUCCAUAAAAUGGGGGCAAUGAAAACAGCACACGGGGUUACUGUGGGGAUUAAAUGACAUAACUCAUAAAUCUCUGUUGGGCACAGAGCUUGGCCCAACUUUCACCGGGUGUUACUUUGCUCUUUCCGAGCGAUCAGUUUAUCGUCUGUUUACGUCCGGCUCAAAAUGAGGGCCCACGGGGAUAACAUUGUCACCUACACCGCAUCAAGCAGAGCUU
rnacentral:lncRNA from 1 species